rnacentral:rRNA from 1 species
CUGGCGGCGUGCCUAACACAUGCAAGUCAAAGGAAAGCGGCUUCGGCCGUGAGUACUUGGCGCAAGGGUGAGUAAUGUAUAGGUAAUCUGCCCUUUGGACUGGGAUAACCUCGAGAAAUCGAGGACAAUACCAGAUGAUGCAGCGGAACCGCAUGGUUAUGUUGUUAAAGAUUUAUCGCCAAAGGAUGAGCCUAUAUCCCAUCAGGUAGUUGGUAAGGUAACGGCUUACCAAGCCUACGACGGGUAGCUGGUCUGAGAGGAUGAUCAGCCACAUUGGAACUGAGACACGGUCCAGACUCCUACGGGAGGCAGCAGUGAGGAAUAUUGCGCAAUGGGCGAAAGCCUGACGCAGCAACGCCGCGUGGAUGAAUGAAGUUCUUCGGAAUGUAAAGUCCUUUUGCAGGGGAAGAAUGUGCCGGUACACCGGCAUUGACGGUACCCUGCGAAUAAGCCACGGCUAACUCUGUGCCAGCAGCUGC